rnacentral:tRNA from 1 species
GGGCGAUUAGCUCAGCUGGGAGAGCGCCUGCCUUACAAGCAGGAUGUUGGCGGUCCGAUUAGUCAUCGCCCACCA